rnacentral:snoRNA from 1 species
UGUGAAGUAUUUUGUUUUUAUAUUUAUACGUCACAUGUAUCAAAAUCAUUUAGUGUUAAAUUAAGAUAACAUAU